AUUGAACGCUGGCGGCAGGCCUAACACAUGCAAGUCGAACGAGUGGCGGACGGGUGGGUAAUGUCUGGGAAACUGCCCGAUGGAGGGGGAUAACUACUGGAAACGGUAGCUAAUACCGCAUACCAUCGGAUGUGUCCAGAUGGGAUUAGCUAGUAGGUGGGGUAAUGGCUCAUCUAGGCGAAGAUCCCUAGCUGGUCUGAGAGGAUGACCAGCCGAGCAGGAAGUGAGGCCCGGUCCAAACUCCUACGGGAGGCAGCAGUGGGGAAUAUUGCAGAAGUGGCGCAAGCCUGAUGCAGCCAGGCCGCGUGGAUGAAGAAGGCCUUCGGGUUGUAAAGUACUUUCAGCGGGGAGGCGUUACCCGCAGAAGAAGCACCGGCUAACUCCGUGCCAGCAGCCGCGGUAA
rnacentral:rRNA from 1 species